AAGAGAUUUCGGAAGCAUAAUUUUUU
rnacentral:piRNA from 2 species